rnacentral:tRNA from 1 species
GCCCAGGUGAUGAAAUGGUAGACAUUCGACACUUAAAAUGUCGCGAGCUUUAGCUCAUGUGGGUUCGACUCCCACCCUGGGCA